rnacentral:tRNA from 1 species
GGUUGUGGCUCAGCGGUAGAAUACUCACCUAGCACAUGUGAGGCCCUAGGUUCAAUCCUUAGCACCA